GGGGGUAUAGCUCAGCUGGGAGAGCAGCAGACUGAAGCAGCUGAUCCUCUCGCGAUUCUAUUCUGAAGGUCCCGCGUUCGAUCCGCGGUACCCCCA